GACGAACGCUGGCGGCGUGCUUAACACAUGCAAGUCGAACGGCAACGCCCUGCUUUUGUGGGGUGCUCGAGUGGCGAACGGGUGAGUAACACGUGAGUAACCUGCCCUUGACUUUGGGAUAACUUCAGGAAACUGGGGCUAAUACCGGAUAGGAGCUCCUGCUGCAUGGUGGGGGUUGGAAAGUUUCGGCGGUUGGGGAUGGACUCGCGGCUUAUCAGCUUGUUGGGGGGGUAGUGGCUUACCAAGGGUUUGACGGGUGGCCGGCCUGAGAGGGUGACCGGCCACAUUGGGACUGAGAUACGGACCAGACGGCUACGGGGGGCAGAAGGGGGGAAUAUGGCACAAUGGGCGGAAGCCUGAUGCAGCAACGCCGCGUGCGGGAUGACGGCCUGCGGGUUGUAAACCGCUUUCGCCUGAGACGAAGCGUGAGUGACGGUAAUGGGAGAAGAAGCACCGGCUAACUACGUG
rnacentral:rRNA from 1 species